UAGUGAAUCUUCCGCAAUGGGCGAAAGCCUGACGGAGCAACGCCGCGUGAGUGAUGAAGGUCUUCGGAUCGUAAAACUCUGUUAUUAGGGAAGAACAAAUGUGUAAGUAACUAUGCACGUCUUGACGGUACCUAAUCAGAAAGCCACGGCUAACUACGUGCCAGCAGCCGCGGUAAUACGUAGGUGGCAAGCGUUAUCCGGAAUUAUUGGGCGUAAAGCGCGCGUAGGCGGUUUUUUAAGUCUGAUGUGAAAGCCCACGGCUCAACCGUGGAGGGUCAUUGGAAACUGGAAAACUUGAGUGCAGAAGAGGAAAGUGGAAUUCCAUGUGUAGCGGUGAAAUGCGCAGAGAUAUGGAGGAACCCCAGUGGCGAAGGCGACUUUCUGGUCUGUAACUGACGCUGAUGUGCGAAAGCGUGGGGAUCAAACAGG
rnacentral:rRNA from 1 species